CACCGGGCACCGCCGCUCCGCCGCCAGUCCCGCCGCUCCCUCCCCGCGCCCGGUGCAAUGCGCCGGGGGAUGCCCAGCGCCCCCGAAGGGAGCAGUCCCGGUGCGGCGGGUGAGCCCCGGAGCCGCCGCCGGCGGGGAUGCUCCGCGUCGGGGAGCGGCGCGGGGGCGAGGCGGCCGGCGGCGGGGCCGGGGCGCGGCGCGGAGCGGGGCCAGGAAGGGAAGGCAGGGGAGGCAGCCAGGCAAGGAUUUUUCCAUCUCCAUUUUCUCUGCUGUUAAGAGUUAUUCUUCUUACUUUGGAUAAAUAAAAACCUUUCCUUUUUCAUCUAAAGGGUGUCUGAGGUGGAUAGGACUUAUUUGUUGUUGAGGAGGAUCUAAGAAGCCACGCAAUUGCUGAAGCUAAACUAAGAAAGCAGUGUGUUGUGAGAGUCGAUCUGAAGAUGGAGCAGUAUUUGCCUGAACAUCACCAUCAAGAACUUAGAGAACUGAGGCCCUCACAGAAGGAACACAUGGACAAUGACUUGGAGAGAGGCCCAAGGAGAAGCAUUGUGUUGCACUGGUUUGUCCGAUACGAGGGGGUUGCUGCUUACAAUGGCUGCUGUGUGGACUUCGCCUGCUGCUUCAGCCAAACCAGCCCCCGCCUCCUGAAAGUUAUUGUUAUGGGGGUCUCUUCAACCCAGGGACAAUAACUGCUGUCCAGAAGGUGUGUUCUCACCUGCAGCCUCAGUUACACGUGUCCCCCACCUGCUCCUUCAAACAAUGGCCAAAGAAAAGGAGCAUGCCCAGAAGCUCACCAAAGGUCCUGAGGUCACCCAAUGGACCAGAGAAAGACCCCUGAAUGCUGGACAUGUAAGCGUUAGCAAAAGAAAGUGUGAAUCUUUUGAGCCUGCACAGUACAAGCCUGGGUUGUGAAAUCAAGGUGGAGACUGGCCUCAAACAAUGGGAACAAGGGGGGGUGAAGAAGCAUAAAAGAUGGCUCCCAAAUGGACACCGUUGAAGAUCUUCCUGCCAGAGGAUUCCGAACCAUGACAGAGGACUGGCUGGACUCCACGGGACCGGAGACCAGAGGGACGCUUCUGGAACUGGACUGGUGAUAAACGCAUCUUUAUUUUCACUUUUCCCCAUUUCUUUUCCAUUUUCUUUUUCUUACUCUCUCUCUCUAUCGCGUGCCGCUUUACAAGCAAAUUAAUAAAGUAACACUGCUUGAUUGAA